GAGUUACCUCCCGGCCGAAUUCCCAAGAGAUGGCACGAAAGCUGGACGUCCACUUCUCAAAAGGCUGAAUAGUAGAAGAAACAAGACCAAAUCUUAAGAAAAGAGAAAGUAGCUGAAACACCUGAUUUAAAAAGCUAAACCAUGUUUAGUCAAAAUGGUAUCGCGUGACGCCUGUAAACCAGCGUCAAACGUCAACGUGAAAUUCGAAUACAUUUUUAUUGGAAAUUCGAAAUUUAAAUAUGUAGUGAUAGUAACAUAAAAUUAUUUUUUAAAUCAUUUUGAAAAAUGUAAAAGGCCACAGCAACCGGUUGGUGGUAUUGACAGUUUAAGCAAACUACUAUUUUGAGGUUAGAAUGACUGAAAAUAUACGAAAUACAUAGAAGGAAAAUCUCACGAUAUCGUUUAAAGAAUAUAAGAAACAAAAUGUGAUUUUUUCCUUGAAUAAUAAAUAACCAGUUGUAGAUUUACCAGCAGGCUGAGUGGGCUGUAGCGUAGAGCAAAUUUUUAUUCCGGUACAUUAUUGCUCACACUGAAAAUUGAGGUUUGAAGAGCAGAACGUGAUAAUUUUGGAAAAAAGACAAUGGAAUUGAGCGUAUAGAAAGUACGAACUAGAUAAAUGAAAAAAAUUUUAUUAAACACUUAAUGAAGAUAUUGGAAUGGCUGCUAGUGAUUUCUUCAGAGUUAAUAUCCUAGUAAGUGAAAGAGAUUUAUCUAGAAAUUCUCAUUUCUUAUAGAAUUGAAGUAGAAUCCGAAUUAGCGAAAUUGUUCAUACCAGAGAAGUUUUUCUGGAAAGAUUGAAUAACUUAACUAUCGACUUUGAGUCAAGAAAUACUUAAAGUUUUAGCUCUUUUUUGCAUAGCACACUAAAAAGUUUUCAAUAUGGCAAUAUGAUUAACGAUUUUGAUGUUAAACUGUGUAAUGAAAAAUAUGCAUCACCUUACUACAAAAGGAAAAUAUUCAAGAUUCAAGGUUUUAAAAUCGUAAAAAAUUGUUUUGAUAAAAAAUGCAACAGAAGAUUAAUAGCCUACAAGGGGCCAAUCUUUAAAUCAGUCACUAUAAAUAACACAAAUGUAAUGGAUGAAAAUGUAAAAUAAUGAAAAUAUGAUCACAGCAUAUUCACUAGAAAACUGCAGGUGUUUUAUUGUUUUGAAUGCUACAUUGAAUAAUGUUAAUCGUGCUUGUGACAUUAUUAACAAAUUAGAUCGUGAUUAUGUCUCUUCUGUUUCAAAAUUAGUUUUUUUUAUGAAAAUUUGACGUUUCAACUACUUUUCAGUCUUCAUCGAAAUAUUAAGAUAAGAAGGACCCUUUGAUGAAACUCUUGAAGUUAAGUUUCUUAUACCAAAUAGAAAGAUAAAGAAUUUCUUCAUCUAUCCCAUAGUGAAUGUCAUUAUGCAUGAUAAGUUUGGAACAAAUUGUGGAAAAACUGCUUUAACCAUAUAAAUCGUGAUGAAGAGGCUACGAAUUUCCAUUGCAAAUGAAUCUAAAAUCCUAUGAACUUUAAAAUAAAGGCAAUUUCUAAA